rnacentral:lncRNA from 12 species
CUUCCCUUCCAGGGAAUGGACCAUGCCUUGCACUUCAAAUGCAGUGCUCCGGGGAUCCCAGCUAAAGGGCAAAGUGCAUUCCAACACCCAGACAUCCUGCUCCUUGGAGAUUACACAGACCCAGAAUCCAUUCUUAAAUUAGAGAAGGAUGUUGCAGUCCCGCCAAAGAAUCGAAGACAAAUUUUGCUAAUCCUUCUGAGAGGUGAGACAAUGGUGAUGGGGGUAAGGAAUGACGUCUGGGUGGGCAAUAUUGCCUGUUCAUUUCCUCGGCUUAGCUGCUGAUUGUCACUCUUGUGCCUUUGAGAUGCCCAUAAGCUUCCAGGGAGACUGCAUGAAGGUAGAGCAGCUUAAUUAUGUAGGCUGCU